CGGUUGGUCUGCCCUGGUGUAGAAGAGCUUCCGGACCGACGGCUGUUGUUGUGGGACUCCGAACAGUCAUGGCGAAAUAUGUCCUGGUGUUUGUGGCGCUUGCUGCGUUCGCUGUCCUAGCCGCAGAAGCACAAGGUGAGGGUCACGUAAGAGGACGCGUGCAGAACCCAU